GACGAACGCUGGCGGCGUGCCUAACACAUGCAAGUCGAACGGAAGUAAGAGCUUCGGUUUUUACUUUAGUGGCGAACGGGUGAGUAACGCGUGAGGAACCUGCCUUUCAGUGGGGGACAACAGUCGGAAACGACUGCUAAUACCGCAUGACGCUUCUUGGGGGCAUCCCUGAGAAGUCAAAGCUUUAUGUGCUGAAAGAUGGAUUCGCGUCUGAUUAGCUAGUUGGUGAGGUAACGGCUCACCAAGGCGACGAUCAGUAGCCGGUCUGAGAGGAUGAACGGCCACAUUGGGACUGAGAUACGGCCCAG
rnacentral:rRNA from 1 species